rnacentral:rRNA from 1 species
UAAUGCCUUUUCUCAGCUCGUGUUGUGAAAUGUUGGGUUAAGUCCCGCAACGAGCGCAACCUUUAUCCUUUGUUCCCAGCGGUCCGGCCGGGAACUCAAAGGAGACUGCCAGUGAUAAACUGGAGGAAGGUGGGGAUGACGUCAAGUCAUCAUGGCCCUUACGACCAGGGCUACACACGUGCUACAAUGGCGCAUACAAAGAGAAGCGACCUCGCGAGAGCAAGCGGACCUCAUAAAGUGCGUCGUAGUCCGGAUUGGAGUCUGCAACUCGACUCCAUGAAGUCGGAAUCGCUAGUAAUCGUGGAUCAGAAUGCCACGGUGAAUACGUUCCCGGGCCUUGUACACACCGCCCGUCACACCAUGGGAGUGGGUUGCAAAAGAAGUAGGUAGCUUAACCUUCGGGAGGGCGCUAACCCACUUGGAUCCGUG